rnacentral:rRNA from 1 species
UUCGCCCUUAGAGUUUGAUCCUGGCUCAGGAUGAACGCUGGCGGCGUGCCUAACACAUGCAAGUCGAACGGGGAUACUUCAGUAGUAAUACCGAGGUCAUCCUAGUGGCGGACGGGUGAGUAACGCGUGAGCAACCUGCCUUUCAGAGGGGGACAACAGCUGGAAACGGCUGCUAAUACCGCAUAAUAUAUUUGGGCGGCAUCGUCUAAAUAUCAAAGAUUUUAUCGCUGAAAGAUGGGCUCGCGUCUGAUUAGCUAGUUGGUGGGGUAAAGGCCUACCAAGGCGACGAUCAGUAGCCGGACUGAGAGGUUGAACGGCCACAUUGGGACUGAGAUACGGCCCAGACUCCUACGGGAGGCAGCAGUGGGGAAUAUUGGUCAAUGGGGGAAACCCUGAACCAGCAACGCCGCGUGAAGGAAGAAGGCUUUCGGGUUGUAAACUUCUUUGACAGGGGACGAAACAAAUGACUGUACCCUGAAAACAAGCCACGGCUAACUACGUGCCAGCAGCCGCGGUAAUACGUAGGUGGCGAGCGUUAUCCGGAUUUACUGGGUGUAAAGGGCGCGUAGGCGGGCAUGCAAGUCAGAUGUGAAAUCUAUGGGCUUAACCCAUAGCGUGCAUUUGAAACUGUGUGUCUUGAGUGAUGGAGAGGUAAGUGGAAUUCCUAGUGUAGCGGUGGAAUGCGUAGAUAUUAGGAGGAACACCAGUGGCGAAGGCGACUUACUGGACAUCUACUGACGCUGAGGCGCGAAAGCGUGGGGAGCAAACAGGAUUAGAUACCCUGGUAGUCCACGCCGUCCCCUAAAUGCACCGGUUUCCGGCGACACACAGUCGGGAGCCGCGCAAACGUAAAAGUGAGCCACCCUGGGGAGUACGUCGGCAACGAUGAAACUCAGAGGAAUUGACGGGGGCCCGCACAAGCGGAGGAACAUGUGGUUUAAUUCGAUGAUACGCGAGGAACCUUACCCGGGAUUAAAUGUUGGGUGCAUGAUGGAGAAAUCCAUCUUUCCUUCGGGACUUCCAACAAGGUGCUGCAUGGUUGUCGUCAGCUCGUGCCGUGAGGUGUCGGGUUAAGUCCCAUAACGAGCGCAACCCUUUCCGUCAGUUGCCAUCGGUUCAUGCCGGGCACUCUGUCGGGACUGCCGCCGUAAGGUGCGAGGAAGGAGGGGAUGACGUCAAAUCAGCACGGCCCUUAUAUCCGGGGCGACACACGUGUUACAAUGGCCGGUACAGGGGGCAGCUACCAAGUGAUUGGAUGCAAAUCUCCAAAGCCGGUCUCAGUUCGGAUCGGAGUCUGCAACCCGACUCCGUGAAGUUGGAUUCGCUAGUAAUCGCGCAUCAGCCAUGGCGCGGUGAAUACGAUCCCGGGCCUUGCACACACCGCCCG